CAGUCGCCGCGGUAAUACGAGGGGUGCAAGCGUUACUCGGAAUUACUGGGCGUAAAGCGUGCGUAGGUGGUGGUUUAAGUCCGUUGUGAAAGCCCUGGGCUCAACCUGGGAAUUGCAGUGGAUACUGGGUCACUAGAGUGUGGUAGAGGAUAGUGGAAUUUCCGGUGUAGCAGUGAAAUGCGUAGAGAUCGGAAGGAACAACUGUGGCGAAGGCGACUAUCUGGGCCAACACUGACACUGAGGCACGAAAGCGUGGGGAGCAAACAGGAUUAGAUACCCGCGUAGUCCCUGUCUCUUAUAC
rnacentral:rRNA from 1 species